GGGGGCGUUAUGGAUUCGACAUAAAUAAAAAUUUUUAAGAGCAUGUCGAGAUUUUUCUUCUCUCGUUAAUCAAAAGUUAAUAUUUAUUAUAUUCCAAAAAUACAAGUUGUGCUCAGAAUUAUAGCUUAGCUGCAUAAUUCAAAUUCAUAACUUUAUGUUUACUAUUCCAUAAUUAAUGAAUCAAGAGCUAUAAAGAGUAGUAUAUCGUUCAUUACUGUCUUUACUAUUGAACGUUAACCUUUACUAAGACUUACCUUAAUUAAUCUUGCUCAUCAGGUUUUUUAACAAUUAUUAUAAAGAUGAAGCUUAACAUGUAGAAACUUAAUCAUUUUAUAUUUUAUGGACGCGGGUUCGAUCCCCGCCGCCUCCACUU
rfam:Gossypium hirsutum cultivar TM-1 unplaced genomic scaffold scaffold5284.1, whole genome shotgun sequence